rnacentral:rRNA from 1 species
AGCGAACGCUGGCGGCAGGCCUAACACAUGCAAGUCGAGCGGCCGUAGCAAUACGGCAGCGGCAGACGGGAGAGUAACACGUGGGAACGUGCCCUUUGGUUCGGAAUAACGCAGGGAAACUUGCGCUAAUACCGGAUAAGCCCUUACGGGGAAAGAUUUAUCGCCAAUGGAGCGGCCCGCGUCUGAUUAGCUAGUUGGUGAGGUAACGGCUCACCAAGGCUACGAUCAGUAGCUGAUCUGAGAGGAUGAUCAGCCUCACUGGGACUGAGACACGGCCCAGACUCCUACGGGAGGCAGCAGUGGGGAAUAUUGGACAAUGGGCGCAAGCCUGAUCCAGCAAUGCCGCGUGAGUGAGGAAGGCCU